AGGUCAUGUCUACUGAACCUAUAUCACGGUAGGCACUCGGCCAUGCUGUGGGUGCGAAAGCACCUUAGACGUUUAUCGUCGGGAGUGUGGCGUGAGGCGGGGUUGAAUGCCCU
rfam:Paenibacillus sp. DMB20 gs_3, whole genome shotgun sequence.